rnacentral:lncRNA from 12 species
AUAAUGGUCUCAAAAUCGGGUUAAAUCGAGUCAAAAUUGGGUGUAACCGACUCAAAAUGGGGUUAAAUCCACUCAAGAUUGGGUUUAAUCCGCCCAGGAUUGAAUUUAAUCCACCCCCAGAUCAGCACGUUGGGCUCGUCCGGCGCCACCGGGUGCUUGGGGAACACGCCCAGCUCCGGAGGCACUGCCGGGAGGGGGGAGAAAUGGGGUUAGUGGUCUCAAAAUCGGGUUCAAUCCACUCAAAAUUGGGAUAAAUCGACCCAAAAAUGGGAUAAAUCGAGUCAAAAUUGGGUUAAAUGCACUCAAAAUUGGGUUAAAUCC